GCAUAAUGGGGUAGUUUGGAGAGAAAGUUUCACAUAGAUCACCUUGUCUGUUUUCAGAGCCCUGAGAACACACAUUCCCACACCUCCACAUGCAUAUGAGCCUAGGUUAAGGACCAGCCCAGUACAUCUUGGUAAACAGCUGAAAUGAAUUUUCAAACCAGUUUCCACAAAACUCUUCGCAAGCUCUCUGCCUUUGUUAAUUUAUCGGAAAAGUACAUGUUCUUUUAUUAUGGACAACCAUGGCCAUUUUCCAUACCACUCUGCCCAAAGCAGCCCAGUAAGGAAACAUCAGAACAAUUAAUUCUUCCCCUCACAUUUUCUCUUGAAAGACAAAGAAAACAGAAUCAUUCUGCCAGGAAGAAAGCUGAGCCAGUCCCCAUAGGCCUCAGAAUGACGUCUGCUGGUAGUCUUAGUCUUUCUCACAGACUUGCCGGCCUCAGAACAAAGUCCAUUUAUUUCUGAUGUGUUGGUACUGUCAGCCAGCGGACACACAGAUAGGCAGGCGGGGGUCUCAGCCUUGGUUUUGCUUUGCUGGCCUGAGGAUGACAGCCACUGCUUGAACAGGAACUUGUUUGUUUUAGGUCCUCCUGUGACGUCGUGAUAUCUGAAUAGCUGUCAGGUUCUAGGGAAAGGUUUCUCUAACGCCGAAUGAGACUCAUUGUUCAUAGCUACAGUGAGGCUGUACUGAAUACACGUUUUUGUGUGCGUAUACAUGGCUGAAAAGCUGAGGUCACUUAUUCAACUUACUGUGGUGAGUUCAGUGGGUGAUUUACUCUUGCCUUCUCUUUUUAGCACAUUUAGACCUGAACACAGAUAGUCUCCAUCCCAUCUCAUUUAUCCUAACUUCUUUUUUCUUUCUUCAUUCAUCCUUUCCUUUUUUUUUUUUCUCUCCUUCUCCUUCUUCUUCUUUUAUUGCUUCCAGGGUUGUUGCUAGGGCUCAGGACCCCCUGCACAAUGAAGCCACUUAUCUUGGUGGCCAUUUUUUCCUUUUGUUCCUCCCUGCCUUCAUUUUAUUAGCUAGGACAGAGAGAAAUUGAGAUUGGGAAGCGAGAGAGAGAGAGAGGGAGAGAAAGAGAGACACCUACAGACCUGCUUUACUGCUCAUGAAGCGGCCCAGCCCCUGCAGGCGGGCAUGAGGUCUUGAAUCCGGGUCCUUGUGCCUGCUCAUGUGUGUACUCAACCAGAUGUUCCACCAUCUGGCUUAAAAUGAAAUUUUAUUUCAAAGUGCUCUUCCCUAGGCUGACACUGACCUGAAGCUCUGGCUUGCCAUCAACUUGCACAGUACUGGCGUUGACCAUGUCCAGAAUGGGGACACCAUGACCGCGUGGACUCCCAGAGGAGAUGCAGAAUCCCAGGCCGCUCGUGAUGAGGAAAUUCUGCUGACGGAACUUCUUUCUUGGCCACAUCCUGAAGAAACCUGGGAAUUCCACAAACGUGUAGCGACUGUAGCCCUGAAAUGAAAUGUAAAUAGAAUCUG